UACGUAGGGUGCAAGCGUUAAUCGGAAUUACUGGGCGUAAAGCGUGCGCAGGCGGCUUUGCAAGACAGAUGUGAAAUCCCCGGGCUUAACCUGGGAACUGCAUUUGUGACUGCAUGGCUAGAGUACGGUAGGAGGGGGAUGGAAUUCCGCGUGUAGCAGUGAAAUGCGUAGAUAUGCGGAGGAACACCGAUGGCGAAGGCAAUCCCCCUGGGCACCUG
rnacentral:rRNA from 1 species